UACGUAGGUGGCAAGCGUUGUCCGGAAUUAUUGGGCGUAAAGCGCGCGCAGGCGGCCUUUUAAGUCUGAUGUGAAAUCUUGCGGCUCAACCGCAAGCGGCCAUUGGAAACUGGGAGGCUUGAGUACAGAAGAGGAGAGUGGAAUUCCACGUGUAGCGGUGAAAUGCGUAGAUAUGUGGAGGAACACCAGUGGCGAAGGCGACUCUCUGGUCUGUAACUGACGCUGAGGCGCGAAAGCGUGGGGAGCAAACAGG
rnacentral:rRNA from 2 species